GUGUUCCUGUUGAUGAGUAAGGUGAUCAAAGCUCCUGGGGGCAAUUGAGGGUAGAGUCGGCAACGCGCUUGCGAUGCUUCUGGUGGUGCAGGUGUCUAUAAGCUACGGUAAUCGCUGAUGGUAACAUCAGGUGAGCCGUACGCUUGUUUGCCGAGCUAGUUUUAUAAAAAAAAAGCCGCCGUAGCCGAAAACGGCAAGGGCGACUACUAUGAUAUAGUAUACAAGAAUUUAUUAUAAGAUAGAUAAGUAGAAUUUACAUUUGGCAACGUGCUUGUAAUACUCCUUGUGUUACGAGCGUUUAAAUUAGCUAUGUAUAUCAUAAACUAUGAUAACCACCUACCAUCAGGCGAACCGUACGGUUGUUAGUUGCCAUAGUGGUUUGAAAAAUAUAUAAGGUUAAUCCUGUGUUCUAUUAUCUUAUUAUAUUAUUAGUAUUAAUAAACAUUGUGUUUUCUCUAACUAUUAAAAUAUAUAUAAUUGACAAAAUCUUAAGCACUGAUUAGACAUUUAUUUAUAUAAUCUUUAUAAGAAAUAUAUACUAAUUGAUAAAAUUGUAUGAUAAAAAAGUCAAUUAACAUUGUUACUAGUGAAAGUAUAAACAAUUAUUACAUUAAUUAAAUGAAUUAUUAAAUGUAUACGCACAAAGUUUGUAGAAUUAUUUAUAAAAAGGUAAAACAUUUAUUUAAUAUCUACAUCUCUGUAAUGUACUUAUUUUAAUAAAUCAUUAAUUCACCUAAAACUUUAUACGAGACAUUAUUCAUGUUAUUUUAGCAUCGUCGAAAGCAAUUAAUCUAAAAGAAUAAUUGUAAGCUAUAUGAUAGAACUUACAACUGCUCUGGAUUGCUUGGUACCUGUAGUUUGUUGCGGUAAGCGGAGGAUUCAGAAUAGGUACUUUGUAGUGUAUGUACAUGUGAACAUAUAGUAAGUAUAUGCGGAUAGAUGGUAAUAACACUCAAUGUAAAUUUAUAUAUUUUUCAAAAUAAUAACUUCAAGUCACUAUUAUUUUGAAUCAAUGAAUGAAUAUUGGGAAACUAAAAUAAUAAACAUAAUAAGUAUAAUGGUAAGAAAAGAGAAAAAGAAGAAGA
rnacentral:misc_RNA from 1 species